rnacentral:tRNA from 1 species
CUCAGUGGCGUAAUGCUUAGCGCACGAACACCGGUUAGGCGCGAAUCGCGGGUUCGAAUCCCGCCUGAG